rnacentral:lncRNA from 1 species
UGGCUUGUGUUAUUCAUGGGAGUACUAAUUUUUCUUCGAUUUGGACUCUUCAAGCCCCUAGGAGGGGUAAAUUUUUCUGCUAGAAACUGUGAUGGUCUCGAAUUUCAUGGAAAUCUCCUUUAUAUGGAUUGGGGUUUGUUGUCUAACUCUUCUUUAGAUGAUCAUCUGUGCCCUGGUUGUGUUGUAGACUGUUAGCAUUCUGUAGGGACUUGCGCUUUUGCUGGUCAU